rnacentral:rRNA from 1 species
AGAGUUUGAUCCUGGCUCAGGACGAACGCUGGCGGCGUGCCUAACACAUGCAAGUCGAGCGGAGACAGUGAGUAGCUUGCUAUGAGCUGUUUUAGCGGCGGACGGGUGAGUAACGCGUGAGCAACCUUUCCCAGACAGGGGAAUAACACACCGAAAGGUGUACUAAUACCGCAUAAGACCACGGGAUCACAUGGUUCUGGGGUUAAAAAGAUUUUAAUCGGGUUUUGGGGUUGGGCUCGCGUCCGAGUAGGUAGUUGGUGAGG